rnacentral:misc_RNA from 1 species
GAGAGCUUAGAGAUGUCGAUUGAAUCAAUGGGAAAUGAAGUAGCACGAUCGGAUAGACAGGGACGCUUAGUGAGGGUGUGGGAGUGGAGACCCAUAGUGGAAUAAGGCUUAGGAGGAUCGGAGUCUAAGGUCUGGAGGUGGAAAGGUCUCCAGGAGUGGAGCUGGAAGGCGCAUGAAUCUAUAGAGUGAAGCGAAUCGAGGGUCCUGUGAGACAUUAGAAGAAGAUGAAUGAAGAAUUGAAAAUGGAAGAGGUUUGAGGAGACAAGCUGAAGAAAGUUGGAGAAUGAAGGCGAAGGAAGAAGAAAGUUGAAGAGACAACCUGUAGCCCGCCUGGAGGUACUAGUUUGGAGUUG